rnacentral:tRNA from 1 species
GAGGGUAUUGCUCAGUGGCACAGGGCAUGCCUAACAUGCACAAGGUCCUGAGUUCAAUUCCCAGUACCUCCA